CCUACGGGAGGCAGCAGUGAGGAAUAUUGGUCAAUGGGCGCGAGCCUGAACCAGCCAAGUAGCGUGAAGGAUGACUGCCCUACGGGUUGUAAACUUCUUUUAUAAAGGAAUAAAGUGAGGCGCGUGUGCCUUUUUGUAUGUACUUUAUGAAUAAGGAAAGGCUAACUCCGUGCCAGCAGCCGCGGCAAUACGGAGGAUCCGAGCGUUAUCCGGAUUUAUUGGGUUUAAAGGGAGCGUAGAUGGGGUGUUAAGUCAGUUGAGAAAGUUUGUGGCUCAACCGUAAAAUUGCAAUUGAUACUGGCAGCCUUGAGUACAGUAGAGGUAGGCGGAAUUCGUGGUGUAGCGGUGAAAUGCUUAGAUAUCACGAAGAACACCGAUGGCGAAGGCAGCUUACUAAACUGCCACUGACAUUGAUGCUCGAAAGUGUGGGUAUCAAACAGGAUUAGAUACCCGAGUAGUC
rnacentral:rRNA from 1 species